rnacentral:rRNA from 1 species
CGGCGGGACGGGGUGGAGUAACGCGUGGGUAACCUGCCUCAUACAGGGGGAUAACAGUUAGAAAUGACUGCUAAUACCGCAUAAGACCACAGCACCGCAUGGUGCGGGGGUAAAAACGUACCGGUGGUAUGAGAUGGACCCGCGUCUGAUUAGCUAGUUGGUAAGGUAACGGCUUACCAAGGCGACGAUCAGUAGCCGACCUGAGAGGGUGACCGGCCACAUUGGGACUGAGACACGGCCCAA